CCAACUGGUAGUGGAGGAUUGAAUCGACCACGUGCGUUAACUAUGCACAUCAUGCGAACAUCCUCAUUUGCCUCUAUCUGCAUUGCUUUUGUGCGACAUCGCCAAAGACAUGCUGUGAUAAGAUCAAAUGUGGAGCAAUGUUGAAGGUGUUGGGGAAUGGAUUUGCGAAGUGCAGCUAUGUCGAGGCGUCCAAAGAAGAAUGAUCGUUGAAUCAAGUUGUGGUUGGAAGAAGGGAGGGUAUCUUGGAUUUGCUCGUAUUCAGGAUGGUUGCGUGUAAUGCGAGGUGGAUCUCUUGCCAUUAGGAGCUCCCUACGCCAUACUGGUGCAAUGGAAGGUUUGGUUGCUCCUCUAGCCAUUUCGACCCAAGCGUUCAUGAAUUGUUGGUAACCAAAACCAUCAGCCAUGGUGUGGCUAAAGCGGAGAGCCAAGAUGAAACCACCACACUUGAGUCGUGUCACCUGCAUUUAUAUUCCAUCUUCAACAAUUCAGACAAUUUCAUUGUUUAACUCUCACAUUAAUUACGAAAUUAUAAUAUAUAUAUAUAUAUAUUUAAGAUAUCAAAACUUUAUUUUAAAUUGAGUAACUUAAGAGAAAUUAGCUAAAAUGAAAAAGUAACCGGAAUAAUUUCAAUAUAUGUCAAUUUAAUUAUUUAAUUUUAGUAAACUAAACACUUGUGCACGUGAUUUUAGUGAUUUUUUAUUUUGAAAAAUAAGUGAAUAAUAGAUAUUUUGAGUUGUUUUUAUAUUUUACUUUUUUAAAAAAACAAAUUUCAAAUGGUAGAUUUUGACAGAAUUUAAUUGGGGAGUAACAAAUAAUUAUAUCAGAAUUCAGUUCUUAAAAUUAAAAAAAAAAUCUAGAAAAUGAAUAAAACAUGUCUUAGUUUGAUGAGUAUGUGUAGUGAACCUGUACGAGUAGAAGGGGAGUUUCGGUAAUUUGUUGUGAGCAAGGAACAUCGUACAUCAGUUCAUGGAAGCAUGGGAAUGGAGGCUGGAGAGAAUCACCAAACUCAGCCAGUGUGACGUCAGCAUCAGCCUCGAUGAACAUGGCUCCUUCUCCAGUGCAAUCCACCAUUAAUUUGCGUUGAGGUCCUUCCCUAAGCCUACCUGCAAAUGGGUAAUAGAAGACAAGUGUUUGCGACAGUGCUUGCCGAAUCACUUCAACUGGGUCUUUCUCUGCCAUUGAUUCCUGCUUUCCAUAAAUUUGUAUCAUUGGAAUGUGGAAACGCAGGGCUUCUUGAUCAUCAAUGUCGGAAAGUAGCUUGAGUUCAUGAGGAGUGGGGAUAGCAGGAGCCACCAGCUGAGGUUCGCACCUUCGCACUGUAAACUUUAGAGAAGAAGAAGAGAAAGAAGAUGAUAAAGAUGAGGCCAUGAGAAUUAUGAGAGAAGAGAAGAGAAGAAAAAUGAAGCAAAUGGAUUUUGGUUGAGUGACUGUGAGUUCCUCGGACUUAGGCUGCAACCCUUUAUAGAUGGAAAUCAUUCUCAUCAAAUAAAUUCGAAACACGUUUUCAUGAUGAGCAAUAAUACUUUUUAUCUAGAUAAUCAUUCAUUAUAAGAUAUAGACAUUGAAGUGAAUUAUUAUUAUUAAACUAAAGUUUAUAAAUAUAAAUUAAAGUUAAACAUAAGUUUGCAUAUAAGAUUAUUUAUGAAAGGUCAGACAUCAAUACGAAAAUGGACCCAAAGUGUCGCACAGCCACAAUAUAACCUGACCUUAUCAAGUGCUUAUCUGAAAGAAAAAAAAGUUACUAAAAAAAACAUGUAGUCUGAUCACGGUGAAGGACGUAAAAAUUGUGUAAAAUUAAAAAAAGUUACAGUAAGUUGUCAGAGGUCGUGAAUUAAAUAGUUACAGUAAGUUGUUAUGUUGUUCUAAGUUUUAGAAGGUUAGGUUGUUUAGAAGGGAGGAACUCAUCAUCCACUUCUAUUCCUUUCUUGGAAAUAGAGAAUGAGGGACAGCCGUGAACGACGAUACUCCGGUGUAUGGCGACAAUGCCAAGGUGGAUGGAGGGAGGACCAACGGGGGAAGCGGAUCGUAGAGACAAACAAAGCGUCCUCAAACGAAAGCUCGACUUUUUUCUUCUCAAAUUUUCCAAGUACCCAUGGUGAGUAUGACAUGUUGAAGAUUUUUCAGAGAUGGGCUAGGGUGAAAGAGGUAUUCAUUUCCAAACAUAGAAAUAGGUGGGGAAGAAGGUUCGGGUUUGUGAGAUUCUUUAUGGUACCGAACGUGUUCAAACUAGAGAAGGAGUUGGAUCAGAUCUUCAUUGGUGAUAUGAAACUUUAUGUUAACUUGCCAAAAUAUAGGAGAUCUGAGCAUUUUCAACAAGGGGGGGCGCCACUUGCGGAAGGCAAGGAUAAGCACCAUGCUCAUAGACCAAAAGGGCAAUUGAGGGGCAAGGAAUGGAGAGUAGUAAAAGGGAAGGGUGGUAACAGGGACCAUCUAGUGAAGCAGUCGUAUGCUGAAGUUGUUAGGAAACAGUCACAAGACCAGUGGACGGGACCAAGUAUUGACACUACUUCAAAAGUUCUCCCAUGGAUGUCAUAUAGUGCAGUAGGUUGGAUGGUACCGGAUUUAAACUAUACGGCUCUGUGUGAAGAGUUUAUCAAAGGGGGUAUGGCUAUGAUUAAGGUGAGACCUAUGGGAGAUAACCUUGUUCUCUUGACUCCUAGGGAAGGUGAAAGCAUGGAAGAUAUUAUUAAGCUGAAUAAAAGUUGGUUUACAAGUGCCUUCGAGGAAAUUGAACCGUGGUCUACGUCAGUUGUAGCGACCCAUAGGCUGGUAUGGGCGAGGUGCUAUGGACUUCCUAUUUCACUAUGGAAUAAGGAUUGUUUAUCUAAGUUGGUCGAAGGCAUCAGUCAAUUUCUUUGGAGGGGUGAAUAUCGAUCUCAUAAAUGGGGCUUUAUGCCCAGUUCGUUCCUUUCGCGAGUGCGCGGACAAAGGGGGACCUUCUAUCUGUCUGCAACAUAAUCAUAUUGGAUUACCAGGAGAAUCAAGUAGUGUGGACAGUUCAACGCCGAAAAAGAAAGAAGAAUUUGAUGAUAAAAUUAACUCAAGGGCAGAAGCAGAAUCCAAUACACCAGAGAGUGUGCGUAGACUCCGAAACCUGUGGGAGCAGGGCACGAAACAGUCCUGUGUGCGAUGGAGAUCGAAGGGAGGUUUAGGACCACUACAUUAUGGCGUCAAUUCUUCAUCUAGGUUAAGUCGCUGCUCCUUUGCUGAAUCUGAAAGUGACAUUGAACUUUGUAAUAAUAGAUUGAGAAUUGAGGAUACUGUUGAUGAGCCAGUACAGAUUUGGGAUGCGGGCAAACGGUUAGGUUUGAGGUGUUCAGGGGAGGAGGUGAAUGUUGUAGUAGAACUGGAAUGUAUGGAAGUUAGGGACAAGGAAGUCAGAAAAUGUGCAGAGGAGGGCACCAACCCCGUUGGUUUAUGAUUAUUGUUGAUCUUAAUAUUAGGGGGUGGGGGGGGGGGGGUACCAAAACAAAUUAUCUGAAACAUUGUAUUACUAAGGAGAAUGCGGAAUUUGUGUGUUUGCAGGAGACAAAAACUACGACUUUCUCAGAUAUUAGAUGUUUCUCACUUUGGGGAACAAUAAUAUUGGUUGGAUACAUUAUGAAGGCAAUAAUGGAGCUGGGAGUAUGAUCUCCAUGUGGCAGAAAGAUAAAUUUUGCUAUGAGACGCAUGUUGUGGGGACUGGAUUCAUUGCGGUAGUAGGUCAACAUAUUCAUUCUGGUCACAGGUGCUUCGUGGUUAAUGUUUAUGCAGCUUGUAAUCUUAGAGCAAAAAUAACUUUAUGGGAAGAUUUAUCGUCUUUCAGGCGGACCUAUCAGAACAUGGCUGGUUGUUAUUGUGGAGACUUUAAUGCUGUAAGAAGGGAAGAUGAAAGGAAAGGUAUUGGUAGGGGAACCAGCCAGAGGAAGGAGAUGAGUGGCUUUAAUGACUUUAUUGACACAAACUGCUUGGUGGACAUACCAACUGCAGGCAAAAAGUUUACUUGGUUCAAACCAAAUGGUACUGCUAAAAGUAGGUUGGAUAGAUUUCUUGUGUCUGAAGAGUGGAUUCAGUUUUGGCCUUUCUACAAGCAAUAUGUGCAGCAAAGAACUGUGUCCGAUCACUGUGCUAUUGUGGCGAAAUCUUGGGUUAAAGAUAGGGGUCCUAAACCCUUUCGUUCGAUCGAUGCUUGGUUUUUGGAGCCAGGAUUCAAGGCGUAUGUACAAGAGAAAUGGGGCUCAUACAAUAGCCAGGGUAACAACAUAUCUAGCUUCAAGGACAAACUAAAAUUGCUGAAGGCUGAUUUGAAAGUGUGGAAUAUGAAAGUGUUCGGGUGUUUACAGACAAAUCAAAGGCAAAUCCUGAAGGAAAUUGAGAACAUUGACGUUAAGGAUGAUAAUGAAGGUCUAGAGGAGCAUGAUCGACUAAAACGAUUGGAGUUACUGAGUCAGCUACGAUUGGUUGAUAGUAAGAUGGAUUCUCUUUCAAGGCAGAAAGCAAGAGCAAAUUGGUGUAAGUUUGGGGACAUAAACUCCAGAUUUUAUCAUACAACUAUCAGAUGGAGAAGACUGAAGAACGAAGUUAAAGGAGUGGAAGUUGGGGGGCAAUGGUGUGAAGAACCGGAAGUGGUUAGAAGGGAAGCAAAGUCUUUGUUUGAAAAAAGGUUCACAGCUACACAAGAUUCUGGAGUUAAUCUGAGAUCUGUGGAGUUUAAAUGCCUUCCCCAAGAAAUCAGCAUAAGCAUGGUUGCAAGUUUCACAGAGGAAGAAGUAAAAGAAGCAGUGUGUCAAUGUGAAGGAACAAAGAGUCCAGGCCUGGAUGGAUUCAAUUUCACGUUUAUUAGGAAUUGCUGGGAUUGCCUUAAAAGUGACAUUAUGGAAGCUUUGCACUUGUUCCAUGAAAAUGGAGUUAUACCAAAGGAUUGUAAUGCCUCUUUUAUAGCCCUGAUACCUAAAGUGCCUGAUCCCUUAUCUUUAGACCAGUUUAGGCCCAUUUCCCUGGUAGGCACUUUUUAUAAGAUCGUCUCUAAGGUCCAAGCGGGACGUAUGAAGGGUGUUCUUCCUUUGGUUAUUGAUGAAAACCAAUUAGCUUUUUUGAAGAACAGAGGUCUGCUUGAUAGUGUACUCAUGGCAAAUGAGGUGGUGGAGGAGGUUAGGAGGAACCGGAGAAGUGCACUCUGCUUUAAAGUGGACUAUGAAAAGGCAUAUGAUUCUGUAAGGUGGAACUUCUUAUACGACAUGUUACAAAGGCUAGGCUUCCAUAGCAAUUGGGUGAGGUGGGUUAGAGGGUGCUUGGAAUCGGCUUCCAUUUCGGUGCUUGUCAAUGGAAGCCCAACAGAGGAAUUUAUCCCGUCAAGAGGGCUGAGACAGGGUGAUCUUAUGGCUCCUUUUUUGUUUCUCGUGGUUGCUGAAGGUUUGGCUGGGCUUGUGAGACAAGCGACUAAGCUAAAAAUGUUAACAGGCGUGAAGGUGGGAAGGAAGGAAAUAGAGUGCAGCAUGCUCCAAUUCGCAGACGACACUUUGCUCAUGUGUGAGGAUAAUUUUUCAAAUGUGUUCACGAUAAAGACGAUCCUAAGAUGUUUUCAACUAGUCUCAGGUUUGAAAAUUAAUUUUCAUAAGUCCAAAUUGGCAGGGAUAAAUGUGGAUAGGUUCACUCUGGAAACUUAUGCCAAGUCUCUCAAUUGUUUUACAAUGCGCAUGCCUUUCAAGUACUUGGGGUUAGAAGUAGGAGGGAACCCAAGGAAGGUACAGUUCUGGGAACCGGUUGUCAAUAAGGUCAGAGCUAGGCUUAGCACUUGGAAAGGGAGGCGCUUAUCUAUGGCGGGUAGGAUUUGCCUGAUCAAAUCUGUGUUCACAUCUAUUCCCCUUUUCUACUUAUCUUUCUUUAAAGCUCCGAUCUCGAUCUGUAAUACAAUCACGAGCAUCCAAAGGAGUUUUCUGUGGGCCUGGGGUAGAGAUAAUAAAUCUAUACCUUGGGUAAGUUGGGGGAAAAUUUGUAAACCUUUUGAGGAAGGUGGUCUGCGUAUCAAGGAUAUCAGGAAAUUCAACUAUGCGUUGAUGGCGAAAUGGAAAUGGAGGCUAAUGAGUGAUGAGAAGGGGAAAUGGAAAGAUAUUUUGGAGUCCAAAUAUAUGGUCACUCUUGGUGGUGGAGAGACUUAGAAAAAAUAUGUAGGGAGGGUAAUGGUGUAGGCUGGUUUCAACAAGCUGUUAAAUGGAAUGUCAGAUCUGGGGACUUAGUUCGUUUAUGGGAGGAUCCUUGGAUUAAUGACAAUAAACUCAAGGAUUUAUUUCCUAGGUUAUACUCUAUUUCGCUGAAUCAAGGGAUGACGGUGGGUGAAACUGGUUAUUGGGAUGAUCAUGGGUGGACCUGACAUUUGAACUGGAGAAGGGAGAGAUUUUGCUGGGAGUCGGAUGUGGAGGAAUAAUUAUUAACAAUUCUAGCCAGGGAAGUUUUGGUUAAGGAUGCUAAAGAUUUUAUUACUUGGAGUGGGGAUUCCAAGGGGUUAUUCUCGGUAAAAUCAGCAUAUGGUCUCUUAACCAAUCAGGUUUCUGAACCGAGUAAUGCUGUUUUUAGUCUGUUAUGGAGGACCAAAGCUGUCCCAAAAGUGUUAACCACGGCCUGGAGAAUCUUGCUGGACAGAAUUCCGACUUAUCAUAAUCUUGUGGUACGAGGAAUAGUGGUGAAUUCACCUCUGUGUGUAUUCUGUAACUUGCAAGUUGAAUCCACACAACAUUUGUUUUUGUAUUGUGCUUUUGCUUACUGUGUAUGGAUGAUGUGCUACCAAUGGAUAGGUGUAGUGGGAACACAAAAUAGGGACAUUUGUAAUCACUUUCUGAACUUUCACUUAACUAAUAUGUCUGAAAAACAGAAUCAGGUCUGGAGGGGAGUGUGGGUGGCCAUCACACGAAGCAUAUGGGAGCAUAGGAAUAAUGUUAUCUUCAGACAAGAAGUUCCCGAUCCCGAAGAAACUCUACAAGCAGCUCAACUUAUAGUUUGGCUAUGGCUAAAACAUAAGGAAAGCUCGUUCUCAUAUUCUUUCUCUGAUUGGAUCCUUAACCCAUUUCAAUGUCUAUUGAGUGUUUGUUAAAUAGGGGAGGGAUGGUGUAUGCUAGUAUUUAUACACUAUUGUGGGGCUGGUUUGUGGCAGGUUUAGGGUAGUUGGUGGUCGCCGAAGGUAUGCAUCAUCGCCGUUUUUGAAGAAGGCCAACAUGAACGCCGGACGAUAAAGAGGCGUUCUCCAUGCCUGCGUAGUCGGUGGUCGUCGAAGUGGUGCAUCAUCGCCGUCUUUGAAGAACAGAAGUUCAUUUGAAGUGAGGGGCGAUGUGGAUGAGGACACGUGGAAGGCCAAUAUGAUCGCCAGUCGAUAAAGCGGCGCUCUCCAUUCGUGCGUAGUUGGUGGUCGUCGAAGGUAUGCAUCAUCACCGUGUUGAAGAAGGCCAACAUGAUCGCCGGUCGAUGUGGCGGCGAUCUCCGUGCGUGCAUAGUCGGUGGUCGCCGAAGCUGUGCAUCAUCGUUGUCUUAGAAGAACAGAAGUUCAGAUAUUGGAAGUGAGGGGCGAUGUGGAUGAGGACACGUGGAAGGCUAGUAUUAUCGUCGGUCGAUAAAGCGGCGCUUUCCAUGCGUGCGUAGUCGGUGGUCGCCGAAGGUAUGCAUCAUCGCCGUUUUUGAAGAAAGCCAACAUGAUCGCCGGACGAUAAAGAGGCGUUCUCCAUGCGCGCGCGUAGUCGGUGGUCGCCGAAGUGAAGCGGCGAUCUCCGUGCGUGCGUAGGCAGUGGUCGCCGAAGUUAUGUAUCAUCGCCGUACUUGAAGAACAGAAGAUCAGAUAGCCGGAAAUCGUCGUGGUAGGCACAUCGCCGGGUUUCCAGAAAGCUUAAUUGAAGCUGUUAGAGGUUUACGUAUAAAACUGAAGACCUAGGCAGGAGGUAUUUUAUGUUCACUGUCAUAGGAGGUUGAGAGAGGCAGCACUAGCCAUUGGGUGUGGAGGUUGCGGAAAGUCACUCUCCAAGUACCAUUCAACAUGGUGGGAGGACCUAAUGGUGUUAUGGUGGUGUGAAAUUGUUGUUUAGUGUUUUGAAACAGUCCAACAUUACAAUAGUAGUAGAAUGGAGCAGUUUUUAUGAUAUAUCUUUUUAUCCCUUGUUUUGGGAUACCUCGUGGAGGUCCUAAAAAACAGGGUUUGGGUUUUGUAAAGGGUUGGAAUACCCCUUUUGUAUCCCCUUAAUUUAAUUUAAUUCUUUGCUGAUAAAAAAUAAAAAAAAUAAUAAAAAUAAAAAUAAUCUUGAUCUUGAUCUUAGAAAUUAAUUUAUAUUUAAAUUAACAUUUUAAUAUAAUAUUAGUUAUGUAAUUUUCCUAUAAAAUCACUUGGUUGAUACACGAUAUUAGAGUUGAACUCAAUACCAAAUAUCAAUUAUACAUGUUUGUUUUUUAAGAUAAUGACAAAUAGUUAAAAUUUGAUAUUAAAAUUUUGAUAUGUUGAGAGUUAUUUUUUUUUUCUUAAAAAAUAUUUUUGGUGUUCGAACUCUUGUACAAACUCAAAAAAAAAUCUGGAACAUGUAAAAAGAACAAUUAAUAUUAAAGCUGCAAUGUGAAGUCCCUAUUUAUCAAGACAUGACAGGAACUUAUCAAGAUUCUAAAAGCUGGAUCCCAAACACUCUUAAGAGUUAUCGAAAGAAUGUUAUCCACGAAAGAAAAAUGAUGAAUGUAUUUCUAUAAUUUGACAAUCAUCACGCGUGCCACAUUUAAUGAAAAGUGAUUUCUGACAGACGUACACCAAUACAACUAGUAUUCCCUACCGUGGUGUUCGUACUAUGAAACCUUAAAAUUCAACCAAAAAUAUCAACACUUAAACUUUCAGUUUAAAAGUGCGAGAAAAUUUGAAAAAAGAUUAUUUUAAUAAAUUAAUCUUUUAUAAUAUAAUUUUCUUUCAUUAAUAAUUACAUUUUGUAAAUAAAUAAUUAAGACAAAUAUUAUAAUAAAAAAUAAAUAUUAAUAUUUUAUUUUAAUAAUAAAUUGAAAAUUUAUUUUAUUUAAAUUAAUUUAUUAUCAUUUUAAAAUAUAAUUUUUUAUAUAUUAAAAUAUAUAAUAAUUUAUUCUUUUAAUUUAAAUUUUAUUUACAUUUUAAAAAUUACUUUUUAUAUUAAAUUUUAUUACAAAAAUCAUUUUUAUCAAUUAAAAUUUUAACUAUAUCCAUCACAUCACUCUCGUAAACUUUCAUAAAGUUUUCUUUCAUUUUCAUAAUUUAUCUUAAUCUAAACAACCUUACUUUCUUUACAUUUUUUUUUUCAAAUCCACUAUCUCAUCCAAACAAAGAAGUUCUACAAAUAUACUAUUCAUCAAAGAUGAAAAAGUGAAAGACACACAUGUUUUGAUCUAUUUAUUUACACUAAAAUAAGAGUGAGUAAUAAUGUAAAAAGUUAUUGUUCACACGCUCACUCAUUUGUAAAGAAAGACGAAAACCCUAUCCCUAAUGUUUAGCCCAAACACUAAUCUCUAACCCUAAUCACACCUUUAACCAUAACCCUACCCGUAACACAACCCCACAACCACCAAACCUACCAAGCAUCCCUUAAUUCUAAACAAUAAUCCAUAACCAUGAUGCAUAUACGAAUACGUAAAAACCUAAACAUACUAAAAUUAAUAUAAAUAGUAUAAGUAAAUAAACAAAUGGUUCAAGUAUCAAUAAAUUACAAAAUGAUUAACUUUUAGAUAAAUAAAUAACAAUAAACAGUUUUGUAAAAGAAAUAUUCAUCCCAAAAAGACGAAUAACUCAAAAACAAUUUUAUCUUUUUUGAAAUCAUUAACAUACAAAAAUUAUUCUAUUCCCUUCAAAUUUUGUUGAUUUAUUUAUUUUAAAUUUUGUUUACGCAGAACAUCAAAAUAUUUUAGAUUUGUAUUUAUUUAAGAUUUUGAAUAAGUUAAUAAUUUUAUUUAUUUAUGAUACUAAAUAUUUACGGUUUCUCUUUUUAUUUAGGAUUUUGAACAAAUUUAGGAAUUUAAUUUGUUUAUGAUUUUUAUUUAAUUUGAACAUUAAAUAAUUUUUAAAAAUUAGAAAUUUUAUUAAUUUUAAAUUUUUAUUUAAGAACGCAAUUAAAUAAUGACAUUAAAUAUUUAUGUUUUCUGUUUAUUUAGGAUUUUCUAUUAAUUUAAAAAUUUAAAUUAUUUCAUAUUUUUAUUUAAGUAAAAUAUUAAAUAAUUUAAGUUUAUUUAUUUAGGAUUUUGAAAAUAAAUAAAAAAAUAUUUAUUUUUUUAUAUUCUUUAAGUAGGAAAUACAAUAACUUAGAAUUUUGAAAAACUUAAAUUUUUUAUUAAUUUUAGAUUUUUAUUUAAGAAUGUAAUUAAAUAAAUUAGGAUGUUGUAUCUAUUUAGUAUAUUUAGUAUUUUGAAUACUUUAGAAAUUUUAUUAAUUUUUUAUUUUUUAUUUAAGAAUGAUAUUUUUUUUUUGGAUUUAUUAUAAUUUAGAAUUUUGAGAAACUUAUAAAUUUUAUUUAUUUUAGAUUUUUAUUUAACUGGAAAUACAAUAAUUUAAGGCUUUUAAAAACAUAGAAAUUUAUUUGGUUUAGAUUUUUAUUUAUGUAUGACAUAAAAUAAGUUAGGGUUUGUAUUUAUUUAGAAUUUUGAAUAACUUAGAAUUUUUUUUUAUUUCACACUUUUAAUUAAGUAGAACCUUAAAUAAGUUAAGAUUUGUAUUUAUUUAAAAGUUUGAAUAAUUUAGAAAUUUUAUUUAUUGAAAAUUUGUAGUUAAGUAAGAUAUUAAAUAAUUUUAAUUUGAAUUUAUUUAAGAUUUUGAAUAAUUUUAGAAUUUUAAUUAUUUUAUUUUUGUAUUUACGUAUGACAUAAUUAAUAAUUUAGGGUGUCUAUUUAUUUUUAGAUUUUAAAUAAUUUUGGAAUUUAAUUUAUUUCAUAUUUUUAUUAAAGUAGAACAUUAAAUAAUUUAGGUUAUGUAUUUAUUUAGGAUUUUGAAAAUUUUAAAAGUAUUAUUUAUUUUAGAUUAUUAUUUAAGUAUAAAAUUUAGGAUUUGUAUUUAUUUAGAAAUUUGAAAAGUUAGAAAUUUUAUUAAUUUUAGAUUUUUUUUUAUAAAAAUGACAUUAAAUAAUUUAGGAUAUGGAUUUAUUUAAAAUUUUGAAUAAUUUAGGAAUUUUAUUGUUUUCAAUUUUUGUUUAAGAAUGACACUACAAAGUUUAGGAUUUUUAUUUAUUUAGAAUAAUAAAAAACUUAGAAUUUUAAUUUAUUUUAUAUUUUUUUUAUUUAAGUAGGAAAUAAAAUAAUUUCAGAUCUUGUAUUUAUUUUGGAUUUUAAAUUUUUAAAAAAAAUAAUAUUUAAGAUUUGUUUUAAAGUAUUUAAAUAAAAAAUAAAAUAAUUUAAUAUUUUGUAUUUAUUUAGAAUUUUGAAAAACUUAUAAAUUUUAGGUUAUGAUUUAUGUGUAUUUGAAUUUUGAAUAAUUUAAAAAUUUACUUUAUUUUAGAUUUUAAUUUAAGUAGGACAUUUAAUAGUUUAGAAUUUGUAUUUAGUAAGAUUUUAAAUAAUUUAAGAAUUUAUUUAAGAUAUUUUAUAUAAGUAUGACAUUAAAGAAUUUUAGGAUUUGUAUUUGUUUAGAUUUUUGAAUAAUUUAGAAAUGUUAUUGCAAAUUUUUAUUUAAAUAUGACAUUCAUUUAUUUAGGAUUUCUAUUUGUUUAGAAUUUUGAAUAAUUUAGAAAUUUUAUCUAUUGGAAGUUUUUAUUUUUAUUUAAGUAGGACAUUAAAUAAUUAUUUAUUUUUAUUUAAGAAUAAUAUUAAAUAAUUUAGGAUAUGUAUUUAUUUAUAGUUUUGAAUAAUUUAUUAAAUAGGUUCCUGUAUGUAAAGAACCUACCUUCACUAACCUUCCAUUACUGACGGAACCAAGGAUGAUAAUAAAGACUUCCCUGGUGGUGUCUGGACUGUGUUUUGAAUAAUCGGUUGGUUACCUCCCAGAGAAAAUACUAAGUAAGUUUACCUUCCUCUUUAAUUUUUCCUUCCUUAAAAGGUUGCUUUUAAACACAUGGUAGUAGUUGAAAGUAUUCAACCAUGCUUGUGACAAUUUGUUAAUGUAGCAUAAUUUCCUAAUUCUGAUGAUUAAUAUUUUUAAUCACAUGAUAAAAAUAUGAUGGUACCUAACAUUGCUUUUGUAAAUCACAUCAAUUGAUAUAUGUUCAAGAAGUCAAAGGAAUUAAUCUUUCUAUUAAUUAUGUGUAGGAUGAUAAUACGGGCAUGUUAUGUGAGCUGGCUGCAGUCCGCUAAAAAAAAAAAAAAUACGGGAUGAGUUAAUAAUUUAGCCUUUUGACUUAUUUAGAUCCGUCUCGCAUAACUUGCAGUUUACACGGGUCAACGUGACGCGGGUUGGCUGACCCGCGUAAAUAAAAAAAAUUAUUUUAGUUUUUUAAAUAAAUAAAUUAUACCUCAGUCACUUAUUAUUACAGCGUGACCUUUAUUUUAUUUUAUAAAAAUUAAAUUUAAUGUAAAAAGAGAAUAUUUUAGUUUAAUCAUUUAAGUAAGUUAAUAUUAAGAGUGACAAAACUUUAAUUAUUUUUAAUCAAACCUUAUAACAACUCUCGUACUUGAAUUUCUUUAUAUUUUAAUCUUAACCGAAUGAAUUGAAAUAUGUAUUAAAUUUUAAUUUUUCAGAAGGAAAAAUAUAGUUUUUUAUAAGUACUAAAAUUUUAAUUUUUUUUAUGCAGGCUGGCCCACAGACUACCUCUUAUGUAGGGCGGACAAGUAAAAUAAAUCUACAUUUUUUGUGCAAGGCGGACCAACUCAACCUGUGUUUUGUGGGCUAAACGUGAGAUGGAUCAUAACAGAACAUGUCAACCCACAUUGUCAUCCUUAAUAAUUAUGUGAUAUCUAUACACUUGGAAGCAUGAUAUACUCAACAAUACAUAUUUUCUACUUCUUGGGUUUAUUGGCAUGAUAAUGUUAAAUUAUUUUCUUAUUUUACAGAUAUAGAUUAGCAAUGGUCAUGUCUAUGAAUAUGAAUCGGCACCGCAGAUGCUGUUUCUAUUUGCAACCUUGUGAAGGCUCUUCAGUCCAGAUCCUCGCACAAGGGAAGCUAAGUUCCCCACGUAUAUUAAGAAUUCGCAAAGUAAAAGCUUUUAUGUUUAUAUUACUUGACAAUUGGUGCUGAUAAUUGCAUUAAUAAUAUUUGGAUUUGUUGUUAAGAUGCCUUACUCAUGAUUUCCAAAAAUAUUAAGAAAAUUGUAUAUAAGAAGAUGGUAAAAAAAAUUGAGAUAAUUUUAUUUUUUUAUGGAUUGAAAAUAUAUGCAAGUGUACGAAAAUUUUCUCUUUUCAAAUAAGUAGUAAUUAGUAAAUAUUGUUCAUGAAUCAUAAUAAACACUAACAUAAUUAACAAGUAAAGUAAACAUGAAUACAAUAUAUAAUGUGUUACCUUUUAUUGGAAAUAGCCACUACAACUUUACUUAUUUUUUUUGAAUUUUUUUUUUAGUUAUUGUUCUAACACGAUUUCAACCUCUUGGUUUAUUUUUGGUAAAAUUGUGCUAUGAAACAUGUUUUAGAUUUGAAUUUAUUUAUUUUUAUUUAAUCAACACGAUUUUUUAAAACAUUUUUACAUGUUUUUGUAGAAAUUGUUAGUUGGGAACAUGACCUAACCUUAAUUAUUUUUUGUUUGUUAAAAUAUCUACUUUCAAGCACGUUUUCAACUUUAAUUUUUCCUUUUUUCUUUUUAUUUUACAUUUCUUUUGUUUUAUACCUAAAUGAUUUUUAGUUUUCUGAAAAAAAUUAUUUAAUGGUUUUUAUUUUUUUUUUUACUUUAUUUUUGUCAAUUGUUUCUUAUUUAAUGCAUUUUUUUAUUAAGUUAAAUAUUUGUGUGACAAUCCAAAGAUAUUUUUAUUAACAUUUGUAAUUGGAGAAAGAAAACUUUGAUUUGGUUUUUUCAAUUAUUGUUAAUAUGUUACACGCAAUCAAAUUUAGGCUUAAUAACAAAUAAAAGACCAACUAUCUUAUUAACAUUUGUAAUUGGACAAAGAAAACUUUGAUUUGGUUUUUUCAAUUAUUGUUAAUAUGUUACACGCAAUCAAAUUUAGGCUUAAUAACAAAUAAAAGACCAACUAUCUUAUUAACAUUUGUAAUUGGACAAAGAACACUUUGAUUUGGUUUUUUCAAUUAUUGUUAAUACGUUACACGCAAUCAAAUUUAGGCUUAAUAACAAAUAAAAGACCAACUAUCUUAUUAGCACUACAUUCUUGAAGAAGUUGGUCGAAAGACAUAGGGUUUACUCUUAGUAUAUUGCAUAUAAUAUAUUUCAUCCAACUUCAACUAAAAUAUCAGAGUUCAAUAGUUGAUUAACAUAAUUAUUACGAAGUGGAUUUUAAGCCUAACUCAACCCCAUAAAACCGGCUUUAAUCUCUAGUCGGUGUGGGAUCUCCAACACACCCCCCUCACGUCGAGACUACCUACUCGUGCGUGAGACUAUAUAUUAUGGGUGGGUCCGAUAGCGGGUGGCCUGAUAAGCCCAACAAAUACUCUUGCUAGGAUAGACUCGUAAUGGCUCUGAUACCAUAUUACGAAGUGGAUUUUAAGCCUAACUCAACCCCAUAAAACCGGCUCUAAUCUCUAGUCGGUGUGGGAUCUCCAACAAUAAUUAUUGAUAUUCUUCGAUUUUAGUUACAAAUUACUUCACUAUCAUGUAAAGAUUACAUUAUAUAAUUUGCAAAAUUGUUAUAGGUUACAAAAGGAAUAAGAGGAUCUUAAAGAAGGAACGCAUAGAUCAUAUAUAAAUUUUCACAAUAUUGUUGCAGCUACAAGUCUAGUCAUGGGUCACUUCAAAAGUACGCUUAGCGAGCUUUUCCUACUCUAAUUAGUGUCUUGAACCUCUGGUUUGCAUGAGAUCAAUCAAAAUUAGGAAAGGCUAGAGGGGGGAGGUUGGGUAGAGACGGUUCGUUCCUAGUUAGGGGGUGUUGUUUUUGUUUCUAGGUAGCAUUACAUGUGAUUGGCAGAUGGAUGUCACUCUUUUCGUAUAAGGGUUGAGAUAUUCCUGAAAUACCUCCAUUUAUUCUAUUCUUUUUUUGUCGAUAAAAAAAAUGAAACAACUUAUAGUUCAAGAAGUGUUGAAGAUCUCACAUUGACUAAAGAUAAUAACAUUUUACCAUAUAUAAGUGGAUGUAAACCUCAUUUUUUAAAUUGGUUUUAUAAGGUUGAGUUCUCUAGUUGUUAAUAAGUUGUUUCAUGGACAAAUCAAAUACCAAUGAAGAAGUUAAAAAAAAAAUUAAUUAUAAAUUAACAAUUUAACAAAACAAAAUGGUAUUGAGAAACAGAUUUUCAACAUUACAAAUUUCUACCACCAAACACUCAUUUUAUAAGUAUUAACUAGGAACUACACAUGCUUAAAUUCCAUUAAUAUUUAUCACAAUAAACUAUAAAAAAAAAAAACCCUUUCAUAAUAAAGUAUAUAUCACACAUUAUAUCUACUUUAUUUUCUCCGAUAACAUUAUGAGAAUGACCUACAAUCCCACGAAAUACAAUUUACAAGGUAGACGUUAUAAAAUUAGCAAAAGUGCUUUGAGGUUGGUUUUGGUUGCGAAGCAUGUGAUUAAACUCCUUCGCAAACCUCUCCAUAGCUUCAGCAGGCAAGCUAAUCGGAAAUAUUAUUCCUUCUUCUCCUUUUCCAUUCUUAGCAGAACAGAAAUAAGAUGCCCCUGGAAAGCUUCCAGCCCCAGCUUCGGCCACUCCACCAUACACAGCCUCACCCCACCCAAAAUCCAUGGCUCUAAAUUUCACUUGUACCAAAUAUGACACAAUACAAGACCUCACAGUUGUGAAUAAUAAGCUUCGUUCCUUCAUCACCAUCAAGUCGGCAACAGAUUGCAAGUACUCUUCUUUCAUCUCACCUUUCACUUUAUUUAUUAACUCCACUGCAUACCCAAAUGGGUUUUGGCAAAGCUUCCCUGCACUCGUUACUGCCGCCGGAUAUGCAAAAGCAUUGCCGUAGUAACCAACUGGUAGUGGAGGAUUGAACCGACCACGUGCGUUAACUAUGCACAUCAUGCGAACAUCCUCAUUCGCCUCUAUCUGCAUUGCUUUUGUGCGACAUCGCCAAAGACAUGCUGCGAUAAGAUCAAAUGUGGAGCAAUGUUGAAGGUGUUGGGGAAUGAAUUUGCGAAGUGCAGCUAUGUCGAGGCGUCCAAAGAAGAAUGAUCGUUGAAUCAAGUUGUGGUUGGAAGAAGGGAGGAUAUCUUGGAUUUGCUCGUAUUCGCGGUGGUUGCGUGUAAUGCGAGGUGGAUCUCUUGCCAUUAGGAGCUCCCUACGCCAUACUGGUGCAAUGGAAGGUUUUGUUGCUCCUCUAGCCAUUUCGGCCCAAGCGUUCAUGAAUUGUUGACAACCAAAAGCAUCAACCAUGGUGUGGUUAAAUUGGAGGGCUAAGAUGAAACCACCACACUUGAGUCGUGUCACCUGCAUUUAUAUUUCAUUUUCAACAAAUUAGACAAUUUCAUUGUUUAACUCUCACAUUUAUUAUGAAAUUCUAAUAUAUAUUUAAGAUAUCAUAAUUGAAAUUGUGUAACUUAAGAAAAAUGAGCUAAAAUGAAAAUGUGAUAUGUCAAUUUAAUUAUUUAAUUUUAGUAAACUAAGCACUUGUGCACGUGAUUUUAGUGAUUUUUUUUUAUUUUGAAGAAUAAGUGAAUAAUAGAUAAAAUAAGAUUUUAAAAUGCAAUUCACAGUAUUAAAAUAGGAGUUAGAGAUGACCUCAACCAUAAAUUGUUGCAUAUUUAUUUAAAUUAAAACGAAUUUAAAGAUUUUAAUAAAAAGUUAUAAUCUGGUUUUUGAUAUUCUAUUAGACAGGUAACAAUAAUACUUAUUAACAAAAAAAAAACUUAUUAACAAUAUUAUUGAAUUAAAAUAAUUUUGUAAUGUUAAAGUGAUAAAACAAAAGCUGAACUGCAAAUAACUACAACAAAAAAUUAACUUAAAAUUACUAAAACCAGUGGAAAGCCGUGAAUCUUACAUCUUAUAAAUUAAAACAAAUUUGUCAUGGAUUUUAGGUAACAGAUAUCACACAUAAAAUAAAAUUAAACAAAUGAUUAAUGAAUUAUAAAAACAAGAAUCAAAAGUGUUCUUCCAAUACAUUCGACAUAUACCUGAAAUAAAUAAAAAAUAUAAAAUGAAUAAAACGUGUCUUAGUUUGAUGAGUAUGUGUAGUGAACCUGUACGAGUAGAAGGGGAGUGUUGGUAAUUUGUUGUGAGCCAGGAACAUCGUACAGCAGUUCAUCAAAGCAUGGAAAUGGAGGUUGGAGAGAAUCACCAAACUCAGCCAGUGUGACGUCAGCAUCACCCUCCAUGAACAUGACACCUUCUCCAGUGCAAUCCACCAUUAGUUUGCGCUGAGGUCCCUCCCUAAGCCUACCCGCAAAUGGGUAAUAGAAGACAAGUGUUUGUGACAAUGCUUUCCGAAUCACUUCAACUGGGUCUUUCUCUGCCAUUGAUGCCUGCUUUCUAUAAAUUUGUAUCAUUGGAAUGUGGAAACGCAGGGCUUCUUGAUCAUCAAUGUCGGAAAGUAGCUUGAGUUCAUGAGGAGUGGGGAUAGCAGGAGCCACCAGCUGGGGUUGGGACCUUCGCACUGUAAACUUUAGAGAAGAAGAAGAAGAAGAUGAUGAUAAAGAUGAGGCCAUGAGAAUUAUGAGAGAAGAGAAGAGAAAUUAAGCAAGUGGAUUUUGGUUGAGUGAAUGUGAGUUCCUAGGGCUCAGCCUGCAACCCUUUAUAGAUGGAAAUCAUUCUCAUUAAAUAAAUACGAAACACGUUUUCAUGACGAGCAAUAAUACUUUCUAAGACUUCAAAACUAAAAGAUUAUUCAUAAUUUUUUUUAUGAAAUAAACAAUUUUAAAAUUAUAUUAACCUAAUUACAAUUAUAAACUGGGAAUUUUCAAUUUUCAGAUGACAAUAUUUUUCAAACUAACAAUAAUCUGAAAUGAAAGUGUAUUACUCUUGGAUGCAUAAUAAAUCUUUCUCUUUCAUGAUAACAUAAGAUAAACAAUACCGAAUAUUCUGAAUAUUAUAACUUAAGAACAAAAUAAUUUUUAACAAUGCUAUUUUAAUUCUUAAAAUUAAAAUAAUUUUAAUAGUAAAUUUGUCUCUUAUAAUUUAAUAGAGUAUUAUUACAAAGUGGACUUUAAGCCUAACUCAAUCCCAUAAAACUGGCUCAUAAGGUUGAGGUUUGCACCCACUUAUAUAUAAUGAAAGGCUCUAAUAUCUAGUCGAUGAGGGAUCUUCAACAAGUAUAAUUAUGACAUUAUUUAAGUUUUUAGUUGCUUAAAUAUUAAAAUAAAAUUUUAUUUUUUCAUGAUUAAAUUCAAAUUAUUUCAUGUAUCUAGAUAAUCAUUCAUUAUAAGAUAUAGACAUUGAAGUGUAUUAUUAUUAUUAAACUAAAGUUUAUAAAUAUAAAAUAAAGUUAAACAUAAGUUUGCAUAUAAGAUUAUUUAUGAAAGGUCAUACAUCAAUACGAAAAUGGACCCAAAGUGUCACACAGCCACAAUAUAACCUGACCUUAUCAAGUGCUUACCAGUCAAAGAAUAUUUGGUAUCCAUGGUUUUGCAUUUUUCAUAUUUUGUGUGUGUGGAAUCACAAUGGAAGAUCUUCUUUUUUAUUUAUUUUACUUCUGCAUAUUUACGUAUUCCUAUCUCUUUAAAUUGAAUUUUCUUUAUAUCAAAUCACACAAAUAAAUUUAAUAUUAUAUACCAAUUGCACUACAAGAAAAACGCGAAUUACAUACAGAUUAUUACAUACGGAUUAAAAUCCGUAUGUAAAAUCAACAUUACAUACGGAUUAAAAUCCGUAUGUAAUUUUUGGCGCCAUGCAGGAUUUUUUCCGUAUGUAAAUAUUAGCACCAUAAAAUAAAAUUAGCAGUGAAUGGGAUUCGAAACCAGGUUCCUUCAGCAAUCCUUCAGCAACCAAGUAAAAUUUAACCACUACACCAAGCAAAUUCUUUAGUUUUAUUAUGAUUUUUAUUAUACUUAUUAUUAUUAAUAAUACUAACAAUAUUAAUAAUACAAACAAUAUUAAUAAUAUUAACAAUAUUAACAAUAUUAAUAAUAUUAACAAUACUAACAAUAUUAAUAAUACUAACAAUAUUAAUAAUACUAAAAAUAUUAAUAAUACUAACAAUAAUAAUAAUACUAACAAUAAUAAUGAUACUAACAAUAUUAACAUAUGAAUCACAUUUAAUUUAUCUAUAAUCUACUUGAAUCUAAACAUAAUUUAUUAUAUUAUCUAUUAGUAUGAAUCAAAUUUAAUAUAUGUCAUACUCAUAGUCAUCAUAUUACCUNNNNNNNNNNNNNNNNNNNNNNNNNNNNNNNNNNNNNNNNNNNNNNNNNNNNNNNNNNNNNNNNNNNNNNNNNNNNNNNNNNNNNNNNNNNNNNNNNNNNNNNNNNNNNNNNNNNNNNNNNNNNNNNNNNNNNNNNNNNNNNNNNNNNNNNNNNNNNNNNNNNNNNNNNNNNNNNNNNNNNNNNNNNNNNNNNNNNNNNNNNNNNNNNNNNNNNNNNNNNNNNNNNNNNNNNNNNNNNNNNNNNNNNNNNNNNNNNNNNNNNNNNNNNNNNNNNNNNNNNNNNNNNNNNNNNNNNNNNNNNNNNNNNNNNNNNNNNNNNNNNNNNNNNNNNNNNNNNNNNNNNNNNNNNNNNNNNNNNNNNNNNNNNNNNNNNNNNNNNNNNNNNNNNNNNNNNNNNNNNNNNNNNNNNNNNNNNNNNNNNNNNNNNNNNNNNNNNNNNNNNNNNNNNNNNNNNNNNNNNNNNNNNNNNNNNNNNNNNNNNNNNNNNNNNNNNNNNNNNNNNNNNNNNNNNNNNNNNNNNNNNNNNNNNNNNNNNNNNNNNNNNNNNNNNNNNNNNNNNNNNNNNNNNNNNNNNNNNNNNNNNNNNNNNNNNNNNNNNNNNNNNNNNNNNNNNNNNNNNNNNNNNNNNNNNNNNNNNNNNNNNNNNNNNNNNNNNNNNNNNNNNNNNNNNNNNNNNNNNNNNNNNNNNNNNNNNNNNNNNNNNNNNNNNNNNNNNNNNNNNNNNNNNNNNNNNNNNNNNNNNNNNNNNNNGAAUAUUAAUACUAAUAAUAUUAAUACUAAUAAUAAUAUCAAUAAUAAUAUUAAUAAAUAUUAAUAAUAAUAUGAAUAUUAAUACUAAUAAUAAUAAUAAUAAUAUUAAUAAUAUUAAUAAUAAUAUUAAUAAUAAUAAUAAUAAUAAUAAUAAUAUUAAUAAUAUUAAUAAUAUUAGUAAUAAUAUUAGUAAUAAUAUUAAUAAUAUUAAUAAUAAUAUUAAUAAUAUUAAUAAUAAUAUUAAUAAUAUUAAUAGUAAUAUUAAUAAUAUGAAUAAUAAUAUUAAUAAUAUGAAUAAUAAUAUUAAUAAUAUUAAUAAUAAUGUUAAUAAUAUUAAUAAUAAUAUUAAUAAUAAUGUUAAUAAUAAUAUUAAUAAUAAUAUUAAUAAAUAUUAAUAAUACGAAUAUAAUGUUAAUAAUAAUAUUAAUUAUAACAUUAAUAAAUAUUAAUAAUAUUUAUAAUAUGAAUAUAAUGUUAAUAAUAAUAUUAAUUAUAACAUUAAUAAAUAUUAAUAAUAUGAAUAAUAUUAAUAAAUAUUAAUAAUAUAAAUAUAAUUUAUUUUAUUAUUAUUAUUAAUAAUUAUAUUAAUAUGUAUAAAUUAUAUUAAUAUGUAUAAGUAUAAUAAAAAUGAUAAUAUGACCAAAGAACUUGUCUGGUCUAGUGGUCAAUGCUUCCCCUGGUCACUGGAAAGACUUGGGUUCGAAUCCUGGCUGCUGCAGUUUGCUUGUAACAUUAUUUGGGGCUUGGUUUCGAGUCCUAGCCAGUGCAAAAUGCCUCUAGGAUUAAUAAAAAAAUAUAGAUAAUGAUAAAUAAUAAUUAGUAAUAAUGAAAAAAUUAAAAAAAAAAUUUACAUUACAUACGGAUUUUAGGUCUUACAUACGGAUUUUGACUGUAUGUAAUUCCAAGUUUUCUUGUAGUGUUGCUAAAUUCAUUCAUAUCUAAUAUUAGAAACAAUGUUGAUAUUUACCCCCGAUAAAAUUAUUGUGAGUAUUAUUACCAAAUACGAUAUAAUUUUCCCCGUUAUAUUGAACCUCUCUUUGCAUUUUGUUAAAGUUGAUGUGAGAAAAAAAAAAACAUGUAGUCUGAUCACGGUGAAGAACGUAAAAAUUGUGUAAAAUUAAAAAAAGUCACAGUAAGUUGUAAAAUUAAAAAAAAAUCACAGUAAGUUGCCAGAGGCCGUGAAUUUAAAAUUUGAUAUUAAAUUUUUUAUAUGUUGAGAGUUAUUGAAAGAAUCUUAUCCACGAAAAGAAAAGAAUGAAUGUAUACCACUUAUAUUUCAAUAUUUUGACAAUCAUCACGCAAAACAGGUGCCACAUUUGACACAUUUAACGAGAAGUGAUGUGUCUCAGAAGACGAAGACUUUUCUCACAAUCAUUCAUUACUGUGUUCGUACUAUGAAACAUUAAUUGUCUGUUUGUUUUUGGACAGAAAUACUAAAACUUAAAAAUUCAACCAAAAAUAUCAACAUUUAAACUUUCGGUUUAAAAGUGCGAGAAGAAGAUGUGGCAAAAAAUAAUCAAAUAAACAAACUCGAUUCCAGAAUCCUAUGAAUUAUGGUAAUUGCGUACUAUGUUUUGCUGAUCAUACACACCAAAUUUAUUUUAAAAUAUAAAAUAAUUUGAGAUGGAUAAAUUAGAAAAAUGAAAAAUAUUAUUAUUUUUUUAUUAGGUUAAGGGUGUUCACAAAUUUUGUACAUGUAAAAGAAAAACAUUCCCAUCAAAAUUAAGAGUAAGAAAGGAUUGUUACGUACUUCAGUAAUAGUGGUGGUGGUUAGCUACUUCUUUUGUGUGUUAAUAAGAGUUAAUAGGUGAAAGAAUCUUAUCCACGAAAGAAAAAGAAUGAAUGCAUACAACAAGUAUUACUUAUAUUUCAAUAAUUUGACAAUCAUCACGCAAAGAACGUGCCACAUUUAACACAUUUAAUGAGAAGUGAUUUCUGACCAGACGUUCACCAAUACAAAAACCAUUCCUUCCCGUGGUGUUCUUACUAUGAAACAUUAAUUGUCUGUUUAUUUUUCGAUAGAAAUAGUCAAACCUUAAUGCUCUGUUUGUAUACAGUAUUUGUACCUUAAUGCUCUGUUUGUAUACGAUAUUUGUUUCUAGUCAUCUAGACAUAUGUAAAGGCAAAGAAAGAUGAAUGAAGAUAUAAGGUAUCUUCUAUAGUCGAAGAGAAAGUGAAACACAGCAUACAAAGGCUCUCAAAAAAUAAUUUUCUUAUAUUAAUAAUAAUAAAAAUAAUUAUUAAUAUUACUUUUUUAUAAAAAAAAAUAUACUUAAUAUAUAUAUAUAUAUAAUAUAAUAUAAUGUAAUUUAGAUUAAUAAAAUAAAAUAAUAUAAUUAUAUUUAAUUUUUUAAUUUUAUUUCUUUAUUUUAAUUUUACAUUAUUUUAUUUUUUAUUUAUAAUUGUAAUUUUAUAUUAUUUUAAUCAACUAAAAUAUCCACAAAAUUAAUUAUUAUUAGAAUUAGUUUUAUUUCAGAUAUUCAUUUAAGUAGGAUAUUAAGUAAAUUAGAAUUUGUAUAAGCAUUUGUAUAUGUUUUGUUUUUGGUUGACUAAUAAUCCAUCUUUCCUUAUAGGCUUUGGGAUAUUGGUGAGCAGAGAUGUGUGCAUUCUUAUGUUGUUCAUACAGAUUCAGUAACAUUUAGUCAUGUUUAUAGUUUCAGUGAGUGUCCUUUUGUUGUGAAAAUUAAUAAUUUUAAUAGGUUCCUGUAUGUAAAGAACCUACCUUCACUAACCUGGGUACACCUGGAAUAGUACAACAUGAAGUUUUGAAUAAUAAGAGGCAUGUGUUGACGAAGGUAACAGUGGUGUUUUCUGGUCAUUUUUUGUGCCAUGCAUAUUGAUAGUUCGUUGGUGUCAUCCAUUUUUGUGUGAAAUUAAUAUCCUUUGUCGUUACUGGGAAUCCUAACAUGCAUGGGAAUCCUAUUUGCUGUAAUGAGUUGUAUUUUCACUAUUGUCUGAAUGUUCAUUAUUGGUACCACGAGUAACUUUAAUUUUUGCUAAAAUUGUGCUAUGAAACAUGUUUUAGAUUUUAAUUGAUUUUUUUAUUUAAUCAAGCACGAUUUGUUUUUUUUUUAAACUUUUUUAUUUGUUUUUGUUGAAAUCUAAUUGGGAAGAUGACCUAACCUUGGUUUUUUUGUUUGUUUGUUAAAAUCUACUUUCAAGCACGUUUUCAACUUUAAUUUUUUCUUUUUAUUUGUCAUUUCUUUUUGUUUUAUACCUAAAUGAUAUUUAGUUUUUUGAAAAGUUUUUAUUUAAUUUUUUUACUUUAGUUUUGCAAAUUGUUUCUUAUUUAAUGUAUUUGUUUUUAUUAACUUAAAUAUUUGUUUGACAAUCCAAACAUAUUUCCAUUAACAUUCGUAAUUGGACAAAGGAAGCUUUGAUUUGCUUCUUCUAAUUAUUGUUAAUAUUAUUACACCUCAAUAAAUUUUAGGCUUGAUAUUAAAUAAAAGACCAACUAUUUUGUUAGCACUAUAAUAUGAAGUUGUUGGAAGACAUAGGGUUAGUAUAGUGCAUAUACAAUAUAUUACUUUCAACUUCAACUAAAUAUUCAAAGUUAAAGACAUGUUUUAGCCCAAUGGCACAUGCUGGUAUGCAAGCUGCUUUGACAUGUAGGCUCUGGCACAUACUGGUUCAGGAAUUUUUUUUUAGCAUGUUUUGGUGAUGUGGGUUUGCUGAGAAAGCGUGCUCGGGAACCUAUUUUUUUGGAGUUAGGCUAUGUUAUUGUCAUAUUCUAGUCUCCUUUAGAAGCAUAGGAUUGGUUAGUUGGUUCUUUGGCUCACUAUUUUCACCUUAUUUUGACUUGAAACUUUGAUACAUGCUCUUGAGAUUAGUUUUUUUUUUUAUGUAUAAGGUUGUCUCACAUUUUUCUGAAGAGUCACUUCAAAUUUACAAAAUUCUUUGUUGACAAAAAAAAAUAUAUAAGUAAUGUAAAUCACAUUUUAUAAAUUAAUUUUAUAAAGUUGAGUUAUCAAUUUCUUAAUAAGUUGUUUCAUGGACAAAUCAAAUAACAGUGAAAAAGUUUAAAUAAAAAAGAUAAUUAUAAAUUAACAAUUUAACAAAACAAAAUGUUAUUUAGAAACAAAUUUCUACCACAAAACACUCAUUCUUAUAAAAGUUUAAAAAUUACAUAAAUUUCAUACAAAAUAUCUCCAUUUUGUUAAAUUAGACCAUGUUACCCACUAGUAAUGCCUAAGAACUACACCUGCUAAAAUUUCAUUGAUAUUUAUCACAACAAACCAGUACAUUUCUUCAUAAUACAAAAUAUAUCUCACAUUAUAUCUACUUCUUUUCUUCGGUCACAUUAUGAGAAUGACCUAUAAUCCCAUGAAAUACAGUUUACAAGGUAGACCUUAUAAAAUUAGAAGUGCUUUGAGGUUGGUUUUGGUUGCGAAGCAUGUCAUUAAACUCUUUGGUAAACCUUUCCAUAGCUUCAGCAGGCAAGAAAAUCGAAAAUGUCAUUCCUUCUUCUCCUUUUCCAUUCUUAGCAGAACAGAAAUAAGAUACCGCUGGAAAGCCCCCAGCCCCAGCAUGGGCCACUCCACCAUAGAUAGCUUCACCCCAACCAAAAUCGAUUACUCUAAAAUUCGUACGUGCCAAAUAUGAUACAAUAUAAGACCUCACAGUUGUGAAUAAUAAGCUUCGUUCCUUCAUCACCAUCAAGUCGGCAACAGAUUGCAAGUACUCUUCUUUCAUCUCACCUUUCACUUUAUUUAUUAACUCCACCGCAUACCCAAAUGGGUUUUGGCAAAGCUUCCCUGCACUCGUUACUGCCGCCGGAUAUGCAAAAGCAUUGCCGUAGUAACCAACUGGUAGUGAAGGAUUGAACCGACCACGUGCGUUAACUAUGCACAUCAUGCGAACAUCCUCAUUUGCCUCUAUCUGCAUUGCUUUAGUGCGACAUCGCCACAAACAUGCUGUGAUAAGAUCAAAUGUAGAGCAAUGUUGAAGGUGUUGGGGAAUGGAUUUGCGAAGUGCAGCUAUAUCGAGGCGUCCAAAGAAGAAUGAUCGUUGAAUCAAGUUGUGGUUGGAAGAAGGGAGGGUAUCUUGGAUUUGCUCGUAUUCGCGAUGGUUGCAUGUAAUGCGAGGUGGAUCUCUUGCCAUUAGGAGCUCCCUACGCCAUACUGGUGCAAUGGAAGGUUUGGUUGCUCCUCUAGCCAUUUCGGCCCAAGCGUUCAUGAAUUGUUGGUAACCAAAACCAUCAACCAUGGUGUGGCUAAAGCGGAGAGCUAAG
rnacentral:lncRNA from 1 species